CCAUCAUUAGAAGUAGGUUUUUUAAAAAUUAAAGCUCAGGGUUCAGCUUGCACUUAUUAGUCAGCUCUCAGUACCCUAGAGCUGGAGACAGGAGACUGCCCUGAGGGGGCUAAAUAGGCAGCUCCGAGGGUUCACUGUAGUAGUUGGAACACCCCGCCCCCUUCUUCUUUCAGGCUUCACUCAGGGCCCUCAUGCUACAGUCACAUGCUUCUCUCUUGAGAUAGGGGGAAUUCAUGGACAUGCGUGUAAGGCGUGUGUGCUCUUACACAUGUGUAAGACAUGGGGUGCCCUCUAACUUAUUGCCUUGAGGCAGGCUCUCUGUCUGGACUGGAAUCUCAUCAUAUAGGCUCUACUAGCCGUGCAGUGAGUUCUUGGGGCUCCCCGGGCCUCAUGUCUUCAAUACCAGAGUUAUAGGCACAGCCAUGCAUACAGAGCAAGUGUCUUACCCCCUGGGUCAUCUCCCCAGGCCCCUGUCUGGUGGUCCAUUGUCCCUUAGUUGCGUCUGACAUAUCACCCUGUCCACUGGGACUGGUCUCAGCUCCAAGCACCAGCUCUGUUCCCUCUCAGAGGGCCAGGGGAUAAGGGAAUUUCCCCUAUUGAGGUUUUGCGUCACCUUUAAGCCGUGGGGAGUGGGGAGGCCAAUAUUCUGCUCACUGGUUCUUGGAGACUUGAAUUAGCGGGACAUUGGCUGGGGCUGGGACAUGGCUCCACGGCAUCCGUUUGCACUGAGCUGUGACCACAUCCAUCCAUCCAUCCAUUUGCCACCACGAGUUUCUGUGACCACACCAUGCUCACUGAUGGUCUUCCAACUCACCCCUGGGGAGAUGGGAGCUUUCAGCCUGUGGAUCCUGAGCAAACCCUGCUUCCUUUCUGCUCCAGGAAACAAACCGGAGAGCCACAAAAGGCUGGGCCCCAAGGAAGGGGCAGAGUCCCUAGGCUACCCCUACUCUAGUGUCACCCCGUGUAACCCUGCUCUGCCUGGCUGCUGAUGCUCCCUCCCAGGUCAACCCAACAUCCCCACCUUCAAGAUGACUGAGAGAACAGCUUCUUCUUGAAACCUCUGGACACAGAGCAUGUCCACCUCAUGCAUCUGUACAGCUUCUGUGUCCGAGCCUCCUGCAGAAAGACAGAGAAGGAUCCGUGUCCUAGACUAAACUGAGAUUUAUUUUUGGAGUCUCAGGGCCAAGGUCUCCCUUUAGUGGCCAGCAGACAUGGGCGGCAGUCACAGCCUACCUUCUGAAGCCCAUCAAAGUGGUUGGAAGCUGGGCUAGCUCCCAGCAGGGAUACCAGUGUCUCAGCCUUGAUGGGGAGAAAGGCAUGAGGCUGUAGAGCCAGGGGACACAGUCUAAAGCCUUGUGGGGGCUUGGGAUGCGGCUCAGUUGGGAGUGCUUGCCUAGAAGCACAGCGCCCUGGUUUGCGUCCCAGCACUGUGUGAAGCAGGCACAGUGGUACACGCCUGUCCUCCCAGCGCUCAGGAGGGAAACAGGAACUUCAGAAGAGCAGUAGCAUCCUUUCCCUGGGGCCAUAAAUAGAACCGGGUAUGGUGGUGCAUGCCUUUAAUUCCAACCAAAGUAGGUAGAUCUCAGAGUUGGAGGCCAGUCGGGGCUGUGUCUCGAUACCUCGUCUCAAAAUAAUACCUCGUCUCAAAGUGGUGUGAGAACUGCCCAUGGGGUGGCCAAAUGCAAGAAGCCUCAGAAUUCAAGAUAAAUUCGGUACUGAGUGGGGGUGGGGCUCUGAGUUCCAAGUAGAGAAUCCAGGGGCCACACUCUACACCCAGCCCUGCGCUCACUGCUCCCAAGGGGACUUGGAAGCUUAGAUGCCCAUGUGUACAGAAUCUGUAUGGAGGAAACGGUGUGUGUGUGUGUGGGGGGGGUCACUGAACUAAGACCCUCUCUAGGAGCAAGGGACCAUGGCAGCUAUGUUGGAGAGAGCUGGGCAACGCGCUGAGGAGCCUGGGUGCUACAGACCACUGCAGCCCGUGUCCCAGUGAGCUCACCACAGACCCCAGCCCAGGCCUACCUCAGGAGACUGUGAGAGUUAUAGUCUGCAAGACAGCAAGCCGACCAGCCCCACACCUACCUCCACUAAUCCACCAUCAGCUCAGUCACACCAGGUCACAUGCUGCGUGCAAUGCUUAGAAACUCCCAGCUAAGCAAGUGCCUGACUUCCAGCUGGGAAAGCAGUUUGUGUACACAAGCUCCUAUGUGUGCGGAUGCGGAUGCCGGGGCAAGCCAGAAGAGAUCGGUGAAUCUCCCAGAGCUGGAGUUCCAGAUGACGUUCGCCCAGUAGCUCUGCAAAGGCCACAAGCAUCGUUGCCCACUGAGCAUCUUUUCAGUCCUCCAUCAACUUCUGAAAACAUCAUUUUAUGGACACAAGUGUAUGUGCACCGAACGAGUUCAAGGCCUGCAGAGGCCAGAAGAGGAGGCUGUCAGAUCCCCUGAAACUACAGUAUAGAUAGUUGAGUUGUGAAUUACCUUGUGGGUGCUGAGAAACAAACCCAGGUCCUCUGGAAGAACAGCAAGUGCACUAAACAACUGCGUAUUCCACACACACCCUUUUAAGAUGGGGUCCUGCCCCACCCCACCCCAUCCCACCCCGCUGGCCUGCAGCUCACUAGAUAGCCUAGGCUGACUGGCUAGCAAGUCUGUCUCUGUUACCUGGGGGCAUGCUCGCCCAUGUGUGCGUGCGUGUUUAAUGUCAGACCUGGGAUUAUGACGCUGCCUGGAUUCUCUUUCUGUGGAGACUUCAUGCUUGUUGCACACGUGUCUCCCAGCCUGGAAAUCUGUGUUGGCCGAGAGAAUAAAUAGUAUGAGAACAGC
rnacentral:sRNA from 1 species